rnacentral:rRNA from 1 species
GGAUCUCGAAAGCCUGUCCCAGUUCGGACUGGAGUCUGCAACCCGACUCCACGAAGUUGGAUUCGCCAGUAAUCGCGCAUCAGCCAUGGCGCGGUGAAUACGUUCCCGGGCCUUGUACACACCGCCCGUCAAGCCAAGGGAGCCGGGGGCGCCUGAAGUCCGGGACCGCGAGGACCGGCCUAGGGCGAAACUGGUAACUGGGGCUAAGUCGUAACAAGGUAGC